UACGAGGGGUGCAAGCGUUAUUCGGCAUUAUUGGGCGUAAAGGGUGUGUAGACGGCUUUUUAAGUCAACUGUUAAAUUCUUCGGCCUAACCGGAGGUCAGCGGUAGAUACUGAUUAGCUAGAGGGUGGAAGAGAGAAGUGGAAUUCUCGGAGUAGCGGUAAAAUGCGUAGAUCUCGAGAGGAACACCGAUGGCGAAGGCAGCUUCUUGGUCCAUUUCUGACGUUGAGACACGAAAGCGUGGGGAGCAAACAGGAUUAGAUACCCUGGUAGUCCACGCUGUAAACGAUGAUCACUGGACGUUAGCCUUGUUUUACAGGGUUAGUGUCGUAGCUAACGCGCUAAGUGAUCCGCCUGGGGAGUACGAUCGCAAGAUUAAA
rnacentral:rRNA from 1 species